UAGGGCCUGUCCCUAGUGAGAGUGCAGGGAACUCAGCACCGUCAACUCCUCGACCCUGCAGGUCAGAUUAUCCUUGUAGAGGCCCCCUGGAUGGCACCAAGAUCGGCCCUGGCAAGCAGGUGACCCUGACUUCAGAGCCCUUGCCUGAGGGCCUGGCCUGGCAGCUCUGCUGUUAGAAGCAGGAGGUGUGCAGGGGGUGGGGAGCAGCCCAGCCUCUGUGAUCUUCUCCAUGGCAGGAUCUCCCAGCAGGUAGAGCAGAGCCGGAGCCAGGUGCAGGCCAUUGGAGAGAAGGUCUCCUUGGCCCAGGCCAAGAUUGAGAAGAUCAAGGGCAGCAAGAAGGCCAUCAAGGUGUUCUCCAGUGCCAAGUACCCUGCUCCAGAGCGCCUGCAGGAAUAUGGCUCCAUCUUCACGGGCGCCCAGGACCCUGGCCUGCAGAGACGCCCCCGCCACAGGAUCCAGAGCAAGCACCGCCCCCUGGACGAGCGGGCCCUGCAGGAGAAGCUGAAGGACUUUCCUGUGUGCGUGAGCACCAAGCCGGAGCCCGAGGACGAUGCAGAAGAGGGACUUGGGGGUCUUCCCAGCAACAUCAGCUCUGUCAGCUCCUUGCUGCUUUUCAACACCACCGAGAACCUGUCCCAGAGAACUACUUCUAUGUGCCAGACCUGGGCCAGGUGCCUGAGAUUGAUGUUCCAUCCUACCUGCCUGACCUGCCCAGCAUUGCCAACGACCUCAUGUACAGUGCCGACCUGGGCCCCGGCAUUGCCCCCUCUGCCCCUGGCACCAUUCCGGAACUGCCCACCUUCCACACUGAGGUAGCCGAGCCUCUCA
rnacentral:lncRNA from 1 species